UACGGAGGGGGCUAGCGUUGUUCGGAAUUACUGGGCGUAAAGCGCACGUAGGCGGCUUUGUAAGUCAGCUGUGAAAUCUCCGGGCUUAACCCGGAAACUGCCAUUGAUACUAUAGGGCUUGAAUUAUCUGGAGGUAAGCGGAAUAUGUCAUGUAGCGGUGAAAUGCUUAGAUAUGACAUAGAACACCAAUUGCGAAGGCAGCUUACUGCGGAUCGAUUGACACUGAGGCACGAAAGCGUGGGGAGCAAACAGG
rnacentral:rRNA from 1 species